rnacentral:rRNA from 1 species
AUACGGAGGGUGCAAGCGUUACUCGGAAUUACUGGGCGUAAAGCGCGCGUAGGCGGCUACUUAAGUCAGAUGUGAAAUCCCCGGGCUCAACCUGGGAACUGCAUCUGAUACUGGGUAGCUAGAGUUUUGGAGAGGGAAGUAGAAUUUCAGGUGUAGCGGUGAAAUGCAUAGAGAUCUGAAGGAAUACCAGUGGCGAAGGCGACUUCCUGGCCAAAAACUGACGCUGAGGUGCGAAAGCGUGGGUAGCAAACGGGAUUAGAAACCCCAGUAGUCC